rnacentral:rRNA from 1 species
GAUGAACGCUGGCGGCGUGCUUAACACAUGCAAGUCGAACGGAAAGGCCCAAGCUUGCUUGGGUACUCGAGUGGCGAACGGGUGAGUAACACGUGGGUGAUCUGCCCUGCACUUCGGGAUAAGCCUGGGAAACUGGGUCUAAUACCGGAUAGGACCACUUCUUGGAUGUUGUGGUGGAGAGUUUUUUCGGUGUGGGGUGAGCUCGCGGCCUAUCAGCUUGUUGGUGGGGUAAUGGCCUACCAAGGCGUCGACGGGUAGCCGGCGUGAGAGGGGGUACGGCGGCCGUGGAAGUGGAACGCCGACCUGGGUCCUACGGGAGGCCCCAGUCGCGAAGGGGGGGCAAAGGGGGGAAGAUUGACCAAUCGGCGCCACGCUGGUGAAGAGGGGCCGCGGGGGGGAAAACGGUCUUAGGGGUGUAAAACUCCUUUGGCAGGGACGAAGCGUUUUGUGACGGUACCUGGAGAAGAAGCACCGGCUAACUACGUG